rnacentral:lncRNA from 1 species
AAACUAAAAACAGUAACAAGGUUAGCAGUACCUGUUCAAGUUAAUUUUCCUUAAUAAAUUUCUUCUCCCCCUUUUUUGAUCAGAAACAAAAAGAAUAAAGAAAAGAAAUCUCCCCCUAAAAAUGAGCUCCCCCUCAACAAAGGCAUCAAAUGUCCCAAAAUAAGCUCAUUAUAUUAAAGAUAAAGGAGAGUACAUGAAUAUAAAGACAUCAAAAUGCAUAAAGACUGAGUCUAAAAAUACAAUCAGAAGCUAUUUAACUCAGAUCCUCUUCGCAUCUUUGAAGAUGGAAGGCCAAUAGAAACCACAGUCAAGCACCCUGUGAGCUGUUCUUUGUAUCCUCAGAUGACCACUAGGUAAGGAGGCAUGAAAAAAC